UAGGGGAAGUAUCAGGAACACAUGGAGCAGGGCCACCCAGCCCCACUGCAGGUGAUGGAUGACAUGAGUGAUGACAAUUCAUGCUUGUUUAAAGCUCUGUGUUUUGGAGUUGUUUGUUACACAACAGUAGUUAAUCAAUACAACUCAAAGCAGAAUGAAGAGGAGCCAGUUGGAGUCCUCUCUCUGAGCAGCUAAAGCUUAGCGUUUGCAUGAAUAUCAAUGCCAGCCACACAGUUCUGCACUUCGCGGCAGACCUUGUGUUUUUGUGCAGCCUCUGCAACAGUUUUUGUGCAGCGAGCCACAGGGAGCAGGGAGUGUGUGCUGUGCGGCUCUCAGGAAGGAAAGAAGACAUCUCUGAUGUGGACCAGCUCUGGCCAGCCACAGCACACGAGGGAUGAACUCUGAUCAGUAACCAGAGCCUGCAAAUUAGGCGAAGCUGAAGCGAAGGUGUGCACAGAGAAGGUCAGGACUUGAUCCAUUGUCCACCCUUCCCCACAAGCUCUGAACCCCCAGAAGCUGAUUGAGCAAAUCUAAUGAUGUCCAAAACUGGCUGGGGCAGACGGGGUACAUCGUGAAAGUCCUGGUGAACGCCAGCAGAAGACCUAUAGCGUCUUGGAGCGAGGUCACCCAUAUAGCACCAUUAUUUUGGGGGACAGUCAACGAGUGGCAGAAUGGGAGGAUAAUCAAAUCUCACAUAAUGCUCCCCGGAGGGUAUCCAUACUGGAGGAGGCUACUGACGAUCAGAUAGACAAGAUUAUUUGUCCUGUUAAUGUCAGCCAGUCUCCUCUCCCGUCCAUGCUAUUGUUUGCUCAGAGGGCCCAAGAACAGGCCCUUGACCUCAAAUAGGCAGAAAACACAAGGGCUCUAAAGCCUGGACUUCUGGAUAGAGCCCUUGCUGAGUCCCUGACCUGGGACCAUUCCCCUGGGGGAUCUGCCAGUCACUUGGCAGCAAAUUAAUUACACUGCAGCCCUUACAUCAUGGGGAGAGUAACAUUUCUUUUCCCCGCAGCAAUAGAUACAUAUUCCAGAUACAGACUUUCCUUCCCUUCCUGCAACAUUCUGCCAGCUCGGCCAUUCAGGGAUUCAGUCUUCUCCCUUGAUAUCCGUCACGUCGCCUCUGCCAGCAGAGGAAGUGAGGCAACGAGAAUUCAUCCUCAAGAGACUGAGAUAUUUGUUCCUUUGCAUGGAUCAGUCCACAUUACAACCCCAUGAUGUUGGCAUCAUAAUCACCCACUUUUUGUGGCUAUGGAAACUGAGACUUAGGGAGUUUAAGAAACUUGUCCUAACUGGUCAGCUAGCUUAUGGCAUGACUGGGACUAAAAUCCAGGCUUUCUGGCCAAAAAAAAAAAAAAAAAAAAAAAAAAAAAAAAAAAAAAUCUGUGUGAAACAAUAAUAUCACUGUACUUCUUUGGAGAAAUGGCUGAUUCCAAGGUUGGAGGAGGGAAAACACAAGAUGAACGAGAAACAUCUUAGAGUGCCCCAAAGAAAGGAAGUACCCUUACCCCUGCCCCUCCAAAAAAAGAAAAGAGGCGUGAAGGAAGGCAGGAAGGUAGAAGGGACAGAGGAGGAAGGGAGGGAAGAAAGGAGGAGAGAAGAAAGUAGGUGGGAGGAAAGAUGACAAGUGGGGCUUAUUGUCAAAAGGAUACAGAAAUCAAUCUAAAAUCACUCAGUGGUCAAAACUGGAACAAUUUGAGAAGCAAAAUAAAUAACAAUAAUAUCAGAUUGUAACCCAAAGAAUAAAGCAAGUAUCCAUGACUCUAUACUAAUAGAAAUAGUUGAUUGAAUAAAUACAUUCAUGAAGGAAAAGGGAUAAAGCUUUCUUACAGAAGAAUUCCAAAUAAUGUAUGUAAAUUCUCCUUCACGCAAGAGGUAGGACUUCAUUUCUCUCCCCUUGAGUUCAUGCUGGAGUUAAAAACUAGCUAUAGAAAGAGGAGAAGAGUACUUUGACAGUGGGGAAAUCUGGCAGAUACUCCCCUAGCCAAGAUCACCAGUCCUAAGUCACGCUGACAUCACGUGUCCCCUGGCAUGGUACCAUGAGAGGGUACUUCAUGGCGGUAUUUUUCCCCCAAACUCUUAACCCUACUUUUAAUCAUGAGAAAAUAUCAGACAAGGCCAAAUGGAGGGCCAUGCUACAAAAUAUCUGACCGUCUCUCUUCAAAACUGCCAAGGUCAUGGGAAACAAGGGAAGACUGAGAAACAGAUUGGAGGAGAAUAAGAAGACAUAACAAAUAAAUGCAAUGUGCUGUCCUGGACUGGAUCCUGGGACAGAAACAGGAUACUAGUUAAAAAAAAAACAACUAGCAAAAUAAAACCUGUAGUUUAAAGUAUUGUACCAAUGUGGAUUUCUUAGUUUUGGCAAAUAUAACACAGAUAUCGUGUUAACAUUAGGAAAAGCUGGGUGAAAGGCAGAUGGAAAUUCUCUGUCCUAAGUUUGUACCAUUUUUUUUUCUUUUUGUAAACCUAAAAUUAUUGCAAAGGGAAAAGUUUUUGAAAAAUUUACAAAAACACAGAAAACAGAUCACUGUACUAGCUCACCUCUGAGUCAGAGUCUUUGAUAGAACUUCUCUGGGUACUUUCCACUUGCGAACAUUUAGUCACGGGCCAAGGAAAAUUUGCGUCUCUUUCCAAUGAAUAGAGAAAAUCAAGAAAGGAUAAAAGGAGAAACAGACGAGCUGAUUAAUUCUCCAGUUUAUGAAGAUUAUUCCAAAGAGACUGCACUCUUAACAACAGUGCAUGAUUUAAUAAAUGCAGCGACCCUACUUCCAGCUUCCAAUUCAGUGGUUGAAUUUUUCUCUGAGUAUUCAUAAAAACCAUGCAUCCUGCAUCUUUUGCUAAAAUCUCUAACUUCACCAACAAAAUUGUGUACCAGCCUUGAUGCAGAACCACUGGGAUAAACCACUGGAGACAAUCAGAAGCUUCAUUAUGCAUUUGCUUGAAAAACUGGCCCCUUUGAUGAAUAUAUUUGAUGUAUUUCUCCAGACUAUCUCCACUGCAACAUCAUGCUGUUGAAUCAAUACAGACAGUAAAUGGCCUCUACAAACAAAGGAAAUGAAGUAUAAUUACCAAGAAGCAAAAUCAAGGGCCUGCCUUCUCCAUCGCAGCUGGAUUUCCUCUGGUCACCAGUUGCAGUAGGACUCAUGUCUCUUCAAUGCAGUUGGCAUUAAUAACAGCACAUUUAUUGAACACAUACCUCCGAGAUUCAUAAAAAUAACCACCGCCAUGUGCCAGGACUGUACAAUCGUUAUUUUAUGACCAACCCUACAUAACAAGCAUUGUUAUCUCCGCCAUUGGAGAUGAAGAGAUUGCAAGUAUGAAGCAUUAAGCUGUAUUAUUAGCUGGGCAUCAAAUCUUGAUUUCCCUGGCUUCAAACAUCAGCAUUUCCCCAGACUCAGCGCUGUUUAUUCACAGAGAGCCUAUCAUUGCUAACGAAGACCACACAGCGCAGACUCUCGGCAAAAUAAAUGAGAAAAAAAAAUUACUUAAACAAAUAAGUCAUUUGACUUUUUAAAAAAGGUCACUGUUUAAAUAAAUCCUUUUUCCAAAAAAAAAGAAAGAUCAGUUAAACAACAUUUGAUUAUCGGUUAACUCAAAUCAUUAUUUUUCCCUUCAAAAAAUUAUGCGUUAAGUUCCAUGUAAACAUUGGAAGAAAGUGAGAGUUCUCAACGGUGGAAACACCUGUUCAAGGUAUAGCACAGGGGUAUCUCUCUCUCUCUCUCUGUUUUUUUUCCAUGGGGGCUUUCCAUUGUGGACCGGAAAAUGUGCUAGACGAAUUCUAAAAGAGCCGUAACACUCAGAAAUCUCUUUUUAAUUUUUUCUCCCCUCAAGUCACAAGAAACUGUUUUUUCUGUUCAAAAACAGGGGGAAAAAUGUAUGUAUGUAAUAUGAGAACACAGUCCCUUAAGCAGAAGCACAAACAGCAGGUUCAGUGCAAACCAACAGUAGCCUCUCCCAAAAGAAACAUUAAACACACAAAGAUAUAAGAAGAGGCUUGGUAAACAGAUGCCAGCAGGGCAGAAAGCAUCGUCAUGGCCCCGCCAAACACACUCCAGAAAUGAGAGCGAAUCUCAGACGUGGGAGGGGAACUGGAAUAGGGAACCUCAGCUCCAUUUAAAUGUGUAUAUAAAUAUUUUGGACUUACAGAUGAUACACAAUAUAAAAAGGCAUAUGUAUGUACGAUGCUUUGCAUUUUGGACUUGUAUAUUCUCAUCUUUCCAUAUAUACAUAUAUAUAAUAUGAUUCUAUAAAGAGAUGUAAAAUAUUAAAGUAUAUUUAUAUACAAAUAUAAAAUUAUAUAUAUAAUACACAAAUCCAAAAAGGUAAAAUAAGGCAUAUUGUUUUCAAUAAUUUUUAUUUUAAAAUGAAUCAAUAGUCUCACUUUUCUUUUUUGACUGGGAGUUCAGGGGUGGUUAAUCAGAUGUGGGGGCAUCCCCUGAUUGGAUAAGAAAAUCUCUUUAGAACAAUGGUGUAUAAUUGGGGUGGAGGGUGUCCGACUCCUUUGAAAAUGUGAUGAAAAUGACAGAAUUUCUUCCAUGAAGGAGGGGUGGGUACAGCUCAAGUGGUAGAGUGCAUGCUUAGCACGCACCAGGUCCUAGGUUCAAUGUCCAGUAGCUCUCCAAUAAAUAAAUAAAUGAACAAACCUAAUUACCCCUCCUAAAACAAUUAAAAAAUAAAGACUUUCUUCUGUGAAAAUGAA